UGGGGGAUAUUGCACAAUGGGGGGAACCCUGAUGCAGCGACGCCGCGUGGGUGAAGAAGCGCCUCGGCGCGUAAAGCCCUGUCAGCAGGGAAGAAAUGACGGUACCUGAAGAAGAAGCCCCGGCUAACUACGUGCC
rnacentral:rRNA from 1 species